CCUACGGGCGGCAGCAGUGAGGAAUAUUGGUCAAUGGUCGGGAGACUGAACCAGCCAAGCCGCGUGAGGGAUGAAGGUACAGAGUAUCGUAAACCUCUUUUGUCAGGGAACAAAGGCGGGGACGUGUCCCCGGAUGAGUGUACCUGAAGAAAAAGCAUCGGCUAACUCCGUGCCAGCAGCCGCGGUAAUACGGAGGAUGCGAGCGUUAUCCGGUUUGAUUGGGUUUAAAGGGUGCGCAGGCGGUCUGUUAAGUCAGCGGUCAAAGCCCGGGGCUCAACCCCGGCCCGCCGUUGAAACUGGCAGUCUCGAGUUGGAGAGAAGUAUGCGGAAUGCGCGGUGUAGCGGUGAAAUGCAUAGAUAUCGCGCAGAACUCCGAUUGCGAAGGCAGCAUGCCGGCUCCACACUGACGCUGAGGCACGAAAGCGUGGGUAUCGAACAGGAUUAGAUACCCUGGUAGUC
rnacentral:rRNA from 1 species